UGCGUGUAUGUAUAUUGAUCAAUAAGUAUAUCUGAGAAGGCAGGUCUUACCUUUUGCAUUUUGCAUUUGGAGCAGAAGCUGAUGAGCUUUGAGGAUUCUGCUAGUUAUGGGAGCGCCACAGUUUUGGACUAGUCAUAAAAUAGAUCUCAGUCCCACACAGAACAACUUGACCCAUAUAAGAGAGUAUUUGGCAUAGAUCCUGCAUGGUGCUGGCCAAGUUCUUGACUGCAAAGAUCACUUCUCACUUCUGGGUUGGAAGGUGUCACCCUCAGUCUACAAACCACUGCAUGUAGGUCAGGAUACAAAGUGAAGAAAAGCCUAUUCAAAGAAAAAUUAAGUUUAAGUGUGGUGCUCUGAUCCCAGCGCAAGCAGCACGCUCCUCUUGCAACAGCUCUGCUGCCUCCCGGCUCUGGAAAAUUCCUGCUUCACUACUCAGCCUCACCUGGAGACACACCCCAGCUUGGGGGGGUGCUGCAGGCAAGGAAUGGGAUGUACUCAUG
rnacentral:lncRNA from 1 species